GGGGGUAUAGCUCAGUGGUUAGAGCACCCGCAUACGUAUCGGAAGGUCGGGGGUUCGACCCCCUCUGCCUCCA
rnacentral:tRNA from 1 species